rnacentral:rRNA from 1 species
UACGGAGGGUGCAAGCGUUAAUCGGAAUUACUGGGCGUAAAGCGCGUGUAGGCGGCUAUGUAAGUCGGAUGUGAAAUCCCUCGGCUCAACCGAGGAAGUGCAUCCGAUACUGCAUAGCUUGAGUCUCGGAGAGGGUUGUGGAAUUCCCGGUGUAGAGGUGAAAUUCGUAGAUAUCGGGAGGAACACCAGUGGCGAAGGCGACAACCUGGACGAUGACUGACGCUGAGACGCGAAAGCGUGGGGAGCAAACAGG